rnacentral:rRNA from 1 species
CUUGCACUUCUCUGAGAGCGGCGGACGGGUGCGUAACACGUAGGAAUCUGCCCGGUAGUGGGGGAUAGCCCGGAGAAAUUCGGAUUAAUACCGCAUACGCCCUAAGGGGGAAAGCAGGGGCCCCGUUCUUUUUUAAAGAGUGGACCUUGCGCUAUCGGAUGAGCCUGCGUCGGAUUAGCUAGUUGGUGGGGUAAAGGCCCACCAAGGCGACGAUCCGUAGCUGGUCUGAGAGGAUGAUCAGCCACACUGGGACUGAGACACGGCCCAGACUCCUACGGGAGGCAGCAGUGGGGAAUAUUGCACAAUGGGCGAAAGCCUGAUGCAGCCAUGCCGCGUGUGUGAAGAAGGCCCUAGGGUUGUAAAGCACUUUCAGUGGGGAGGAAAGGGAGAUUGCUAAUAUCAGUCUCCUGUGACGUUACCCACAGAAGAAGCACCGGCUAACUCCGUGCCAGCAGCCGCGGUAAUACGGAGGGUGCGAGCGUUAAUCGGAAUUACUGGGCGUAAAGCGUGCGUAGGCGGCUUUUUAAGUUGGAUGUGAAAGCCCCGGGCUUAACCUGGGAACUGCAUCCAAUACUGGGAGGCUUGAGUGCGAGAGAGGAGUGUGGAAUUUCCUGUGUAGC